ensembl:lncRNA
GUCAUAUACAAGUGCAUUACACCCUAGAAGUGAGAUUAUAUACUCUAUAGUGUAUAAUGCCUUUUACUCCUUAGGAGAAGCGCCGAUUUCAGGAGGAACAGGAUCGAGCAAAACGCCAACUGGAAGACAAGAAAAUCCGACUGCAGCAACCAAAAUGAAUUUGUCAUUUGGGAAGUUGGAUCUAAGAUGGCCACCUCCUUCACUACAGAACGGACACAAAACACACCCUGAGGCAAAGGAACAGCGACAGAAGAACCUGUUAGUCCAGCGCUGGGAAACAGGUCUAAUCAAUGGACACGGCAAUGACCACCACAACUGACCACAGAGCAAACACACCUCCUGAAGACCAGCGUGAACAUCUCCAGCAUUAACUUUAAACCUAAUCUGGGCUGUUUAAUUCACCUGCUCUGUCUCUGUCAUUAACUCACAGCUCACCUGCUCUGGGCUGUUAAACACAAAUGUUAAUCAGAACAUCACACCUUUGCACUACUGCAGCUUGUUAUCUAAUCUUCUCAUUAGCAUUUAGUAUAUCAGAUUAGCUUCACAUAAUACACACACGCAUUCACAAAGGAAAAAAUGUUAAAGUAUUUAAUUCAUUCAUCACUUAGCUGGCUAACCAGUUAGCCACUAGCAAGUUUUGGCUGUUUAGUGAGUUAGCAAACAUAUGCUAACUAGCCAAACUGUUUCAUUACUGAAUCCUUAAUAGGUGUUUAUUCAUUUUUUUCUGGUUCCAGUGUUGAUAGAGUGCUAGCUAGCUUGUUGGUAAUUUGUUUUGUCGAUUAUGCUUAGCUACCAACAAGCUAGCUAUUUAGAUUUUUUUUUUUUUUUUUAGCCACACCACUGACUGGUUUUUAGUUUAGCACUAGCCCAUUAGCUUUAUUUAAUAUUUUACAGCAUAUUUACAGCACUAUUAGUUAGCUAUUUAGUUUUAGCCAAGAGAGAUUCUUGUUAUUUAUUAUCAGCAAGCUAAUGCAAGCUAGCUAGGUCUAGCAAACACUUGUUAUUUUUUAAAAAUUAUUAAAAACACAUUAAACUGAUUUCACUGUGCUACAUGAGCGUGAGAUGUGUGCACACCACAGUGACCUAGAUUCCCCUCACAAAGCCUAAGGAAAAGAAAAAUAAUGUGUUUCUCCCUUGUACAAAGUUUUUGGGCUAGUGUCAGGUAUCUGUGUAGUUUCUGAAAGCUGUACGCCCUGGUUAAUUAUAUUAACCUGGAACACAAGUGAACACAGUUAGGUGUAAAUGGGAUCAGAUGUAGCUGCUGGACUAUACACUGGAUAACUUCAUGCAUCAACUCUCAUCUGUUCAGUAGAGUUUAUCCUGUAGCAGGAGUCACAUGUGAUAGCCUCUCCAUUUCGUCUGAUGUCAUUAUUAAUGUUGUCCUGCUCCACCAAAAUCUCUGGUCACAAGCAGCUGCAGAAUAAAUAUUUUACAGCAUGUUAAUUCUCUGGGACUGUAAUGUCACUGUGCUGAAUCACUCAAUGAAACAGCUACAAAGAAGAAAAGAACGAGAAUAAAAGCACGGCUUUGUUACUGCCUGCUUGUGGACAUUUCACAAAUCCGGA